AUACGGAGGAUGCGAGCGUUAUCCGGAUUUAUUGGGUUUAAAGGGUGCGUAGGCUGUGCGUUAAGUCAGGGGUGAAAUGCCGUCGCUCAACGACGGAGCUGCCCUUGAUACUGGCGUGCUGGAGUACGGAUGCCGUUGGAGGAAUGAGUGGUGUAGCGGUGAAACGCUUAGAUAUCACUCAGAACACCGAUUGCGAAGGCAUCUGACGAAUCCGUCACUGACGCUGAGGCACGAAAGCGUGGGGAUAGAACAGGAUUAGAUACCCUGGUAUUCCACGCCGUAAACGAUGAUGACUAACCGUCGGCGAUAGACAGCCGGUGGCCAAGCGAAAGCGAUAAGUCAUCCACCUGGGGAGUACGUCGGCAACGAUGAGACUCAAAUGAAUUGACGGGG
rnacentral:rRNA from 1 species